rnacentral:tRNA from 1 species
AGUCUUAUGUUCAAAAAAAUAAUGAUAUUAGAAUGCAAUUCUAAAGGUGUAGUAAAUUACUAAGGCUU